AGCCAAUCUGUGAUAAAAGGGAAAAAAUGAAAUCACUAUGGAAACUGCAGGAAGAAUCUAAAAGCUUUCUUUAUAAAGUAAACGUCUGAUGUUUGUGACUGCGGGGGCAAAAAAUUCAUAAAUCUGUACGAUGCUAUCAUUUCUGAUUUGUUAUCGCAGCAAAUGCCAAGUCUAAGCAGUCUGACCUUAGCCUUAUUAAGUGCUUUCUUUUCAGAUACAGUUAUUAUUUGACAAUAGAGAUUGCAGUGCUGCAAGGGGGAAAACUAAUAUAUUUAAAAUGCGUGUGUGUGUGUGUCUGUGUGCGUCUACGUGUGUAUAUAUAUAUAACUAUCCAUCUUUUUCCCCCGUGAAGCUUAUGGAGUUGGGAAUGCUGAAUAUGGGAACUCAGGGACUACUAUUCUGAGCACAAUUGAGAAAACUAUGUUUCGUCCCGUUGCAUGCGCCCGUCUUUGAUCUCAGAUUGAAAAUCUCUGAGCCUCUUCCUCCAAUCCAAAAGCAAAUAAAUACUGAGAGAAAGAAACCUCUCCCCUCUCAGCACAUAGGGCCUCCACGACUGAAAAAUGAAUGUGGCUGUAAGAGCUCUGAUGAACCUGUUUGGACAACAGACAGCAACAAAUACCUGUCUCGGUGGAGGAGUUUAAGAGCACUGCAGAGAUCCUCAGACAGUACAGAAUGUCUUGGCUCACACAGGCCACUCUAUCUCAAAACAAUACCAGCCAAGCUCCUCUGUACCUACAACUGAAGAGAUGCAGGAAAGGAGGACAGUGACUAACACAGCUUUUACAUUUGAAUCUCCUUGUCUUAUUUUUUAAAAAAGAGAAAGACAUGAAUUCUAAACAAGACGAGGUAUCUGAUUCCAAGGAAGGAAACUAACCACGGCAGGUUGAAGCUACAGGGGCAGUCCUGACUGUUUUUCCUCCAUCCAGCUACUUUACUUGUGGCUCUUCAAAACCAGCAGUUCCCAUGGAUCAGCGCUUAAAGUGAUGCUGGGGCCUUGCUGAGCCAUCGCUGACCCUUGGCAGCGAGGCCAUGCCGAGCAGGGGGGCUGCGGUGAACCUCCUACCACGUCCCAGGGGAGCCCGGCGCCGAGUGCGGCAAAACCCGCCGGGGGGUAACACAGUGGAUGAUUGAUUGUACCCGCCAGCUGGCUAAUAUCAUAAUUAACAAAGUUGCUACCAUGUCUGAGAAGUUUAAUCGAAAAAAUUGCCGGCAGUAUGAUGCCAUUGUCACAGAGAUCACAAGCGCUGCAGUGUCAACUUUUGUACUGGUGGAGCCGCAGGACUAUGUAGAUGUGCCGAGAAGUCGUUCGCUGGGAUGACUAAAGUGAGAUGUGAUUGCAGACGGCACAUGACUGGGCUCUGGUAGAUCUGGCCAGUGGCAACCUGCCUUUGCUCUUGUUGUCAUCACCGGAGCAGCCGUGCCACAGGAACACUGAACUUGAGAGCAGCCACCUGCAACAAACCCUCACAUGCAGGAAUGCCGGCAGGAACGCGUGGAGUCACGUCAGUGAGGUUUAGCUGGUGGAUCACAUUGUGAAAACUGCAGCCAUGAAAGGCCCUCCAUUUACUGCACCCUUCAAAACGAAAUAUUAGCAUGGGAGGCUAAGCUGGGUAUUAUGGAGUGGUGACCUCAAGUUCUGGUUCACAAGUAACUCCAGGACAGCACAAGGAGAGCUGUCAAUAAGAAAUGGAGGCUAAUAACGAAGGAGUCGGUGAAGGAGACCAAUGCCACGAGGGUUAUCUCGCAGCCCCAGAUGCUGGAUAAGUUGAAGGAGACAGAAUCGCUUUUGGAUGACAUUCAGGAAGGCCUUGAAUGAUUAUUUGGUGAAGAAAAGACUAUUCUUUCCAAGGGUUUUUUUCUCUCCAUGCAACAAUGAUCCCUCAGAAAUCCUUUUUGAGACAAAGGAUCCACUCCACAUCCAACCACACCUAAGGAAAUGCUUUGAAAGAAUUGCCAAGCUCACUUUUAAUCACAAGAAAGAAAUUACCCACACAGAGUCAGCAGAAAAUGAAAAAGUAGAGCUCAUGCUGCGAAUAAUUCCAGCAAGUGCCAAGGGGCUAGUUGAGAAAUGGCUUCAUGAGGUGAAUAUCCUUAGCUCUUACUUAGGGUUUAGUUACUGUAUAAUCAUUUUCUCUUUUAGGAGCAAUGAAUAUCAUAAGCAUAUUUCCUAACUAAGUGGCUCUCUGAAUAUUUGUCAAGAUGUUGACAGAUUUCAACCCUAUUGUUGUUAUUUAUUGCAACUAAUUUAGCAUCUGCAAACAUGCAGAAAUUAAUUCUAAUAGAAAGCUCUUGAGUCAGACUGUCGGCAGAAAUGGGUCUUUGUCUGAAACCAUAUAUGUGAAUAUAUGUUUGAGUCUAUAUGUAUGUGUUUUUUUUUUUGCUUUCAUUGUGUAAUGUCUCUAGUUCAGAAGGAUAACAUAUAAAAAUAACCAGAGAAAUGUAAGAUUUUGAAUGCUUCCCACCCUGUAGAGAGUGUGUUCCAUUGUGUUGGAGGGGUUUAAUUUCCAAUCAUUUUAACAAAAGGGAACAGAAAUUAUGUUACUGAUAACACCCUAACCUUUCCCCUUUGGGCCGCUCAUCCAAAUUCAUUGGUUUCCGUAUUAAAUUAGUUUGGUGACCUUUAUUGUUCGAUUUGUUUAACCUUUCUCUACCAGCAGAGGAAAGGGAAUGGGCCAUCCCCUUUGUUUUUUAUUUCAGGGCCAAACCCCCAUUUUCCUUCCCACAUGCUUCUCUUCCUGCUGGGGCAGGAUCAGCCCCAAGAAUGCCCACUGUUGCAGGUGAUGGUCUUGUCUGUGGUGGCUUGACCCUGGGUUCCCCCUGUGCCCAGCCAGUGAGGGAAAGUGGUGGGGACCAGCACCCGGCUCCAGCAGGAAGAAAAAAGGGGGAGCCAGGGAACCGCUAUGUUUGUAUCCAGCUAAUUAAGUGGAGGCAGCUGAAAAAUGGAGCAGGUGGUGGGUUGGAGGGGUUUGCCCCUGUUAUGCAUCACGUUUCUGUUGACUGGGUGAGCAAAGCUGAACCACUCAAGUCCUCUCAUGAGUCCUCAUUGCCCAUGUAAUGGAGCCGUGCAGCAACAACGUGCCACAUUCAAACUGACCCCCUCUUAGAAGCAACUGCACGCAGUUUAAAAUGGUCCAUUUGCAGCAUCAUUCUGGGUAGGGAAGGAAAGAAAACAGGGCAGGAUUUAGGCAAGCCCAAACACUACCCACCCUUUUUACCAUGUAAAGUCACACAGAAUCACAGAAUGUGAGGAAUUGGAAGGGACCUCGAAAGAUCAUCUAGUCCAAUCCCCCUACUGGAGCAGGAACAAGUCAGUAGCUUGGUUUUUGAACUAGCUUUCAGCAAAAACAAGCAAACAAAAAAGGACCUGCAGUGGGUAAGUGGCAGCCCUGAGGUGUCCAGAAAAAGCCCAAAUAUGCAGUAUCCAAGCCUGCAAUUUACUUACAUACUUUUUAGUUUUCACUUUCUCCUGCAAAUGAACCAGGGUUGGAGAAGGUGAGCAGCUGUGUUUAUUUUAAUACAUCUCAUUUAAUCCUCACCCAAAAACAAAUUGGAAGGUUUGGGAGUGCAUUAAUCUGGACCCAAUUAGUGUCUCUUUCUCCCUCAAAAGUGCAACCUGAGAUUAAUGAAUAUAAACUAGAGUUUCAUAUGCAGUCUUUAAAUCAUUUGCAUGUUUUAUGCAUGAUAAUUGAAUUUAUUUAUGCACUUCCUUUCAUUUAAUGAUUUCUUGCUCUUUUCUAUGCUACCAACAUUAUAUUAUACAAGAAACAGGAUUUGGUAGGCAAGAAAGGAUAGCAGUAUACAAAUCAAACCUGAGCUAAUUUUUAGUUCUAGUGUCAACAGUACAUGAGAAUUAAUAUUGGUACCAUGCCAGUGGGGUUACAUGGCUGGGAAAAUGCAAAAUAUUUUUGGUAAGGCAGAGGCUUUUAGCUUAAGAAGAAUUUAUCAUACAGCUUCAUUUGCUUGCAAGUGUACAAGCAAAAUUAUUUUCAAAUGGCAGUUAAAUUAUUGUAUUGACUUUUCAAUGACCCUAGAGACUUGUGUUUCAACUUGGCCAAUUAGUAGUAAUAAGAAGAUGAAUAGUAAUUACAUUAAUAAAGAACUGUUUUCAGACCAGGGCCUUGGUAUCAUAGUCUGGCUUACAAAAUAAGGGUAUAUUAUAGUUUGUCUCAUUUGGUCUUUUAUUGGGAGAAAGAUGGACUUUGGAGCUAUAGUAAAUUUAUCAUAGCCAAGAAGGUAGAAGUCCUAGGGACGAGCGAGUCAUAUUAGGUAGCAGCUCUGUGGUAGUAGCUGUUUCAGUGCCAUAAGUAGGGAAUUUUGCUUUGUUUCUCCAAUUAAGCUCAGAUGUCUUAAAGAUGUCUUAGUGAUGGAGUUUGAUCUUUUAUAAUGCAUGCCAGGAAGCUGCUAUGGAAAAUAGUUUUUAAAAGAUGCUGGUAGUGGUGCUUUCAUAGCUUUAUACCAGUUUCUUUUGUGUCUUUUGUCUUUCCUUAUGUGUUGAAAGAUGUAUGUGGAAGUGACAUUUUUCUGUGGUGUCCUGUCUUUUAUCAGUGAUUUAAAUGGUUGUGUCUUGUGAUUGUUUCUUGAUUCUUGUAGGUAGGAAUGUGUUUAAAGGCUAACGAUCUGUUAAUUUGUGAUGUAACCAUUUCAGUGUCUUUCUUGUCAUUGAAAUGUAGUUUAAAAUGUUCAGUAAUGUAGCAUUAAAUCAUUGGUUAGUUUUGGAAUGGUGAUGAAAUCAUGUGAAGAAAGUAAGUAUUGCAUCUGAUCAAGAUAAAUUCACUCUAGUGUUUUAUGGCUUUUUAUUCCUAUGUGAUAGUAAUAAAGUCUCAUGUAGGGAUGGAAGCCAUGAAAUACAUUGUGAAAAAUCAUCAACUCAGAUGGGGCCAUCAGGAUAGCAUGCUGUAGUUGUAGAGUUAUUGAGAACAAUUGGAAGAUUUAGUAUGUCACCACAUCAACUACCAUGUUUUUACAUUUUGUUUCUUCAUCCUUCACCCAAGUAGUUUGAUGAGAGGAAAUCAGUUUGUAACUAGCCGAUCCAUUUUUACAUCAGUGUCAGUGUUUAAAUUGUUCAUACAUCUUUCAUUUUCUGCCAAAGAUAACACUGUAUAUGAAACACUAAGCUAAGAAUUUAUUAUUGCUAAUAAACACGUGCCAAAGUGAAUACGAAGAAAAGCCAAUGAAUUUCUAAAUGCUUGAAAAUUAAGAAGGAAUCAAAGUAAGGUCUACCCUGUUAGCAAGUGGUCCAGCUUCUUUAUUUCUGUGUUUGAGAGCAAAUAUGAGAGGUGAUCUGAGGAUUAAAGAAGAAUUCCCCUCUUACAUGUCUUUCUGAAAGUGUGUGACCUUGUCUCUCUCUGGAACAGAGACAAAGGCUGAUGGUGUUGGGGGCCGAAAACAAUUUCUGACAAUUCCCUUACAGUGCUGCCAUUCCACAUAUUGCCUUACUGCUCUGGUUGCUUCAUUCUUGGGUGCCAGUUUUCUUUGGGAAUAUUUUGGGGAAUGUUAUUUAUUUUUAUACAACUAUUCAUGUUUCUUCUGUAUUCUUCCUCUGAAGCAUAUAUUAAUAAACCAUUAUUGAUUUUUUUUUUGGUA